UACGUAGGGUGCAAGCGUUUAAUCGGAAUUACUGGGCGUAAAGCGUGCGCAGGCGGUUUUGUAAGUUUGUCGUGAAAUCCCCGGGCUCAACCUGGGAAUGGCGAUGAAGACUGCAAGGCUAGAAUCUGGCAGAGGGGGGUAGAAUUCCACGUGUAGCAGUGAAAUGCGUAGAGAUGUGGAGGAACACCGAUGGCGAAGGCAGCCCCCCUGGGUCAAGAUUGAC
rnacentral:rRNA from 1 species